rnacentral:rRNA from 1 species
UACGUAGGGGCCGAGCGUUGUCCGGAGUUAUUGGGCGUAAAGCGCGCGCAGGCGGCCUCGCGCGCCCGACGUGAAGGCCCCCGGCUUAACCGGGGAGGGUCGUUGGGGACGGCGGGGCUUGAGGGCGGGAGAGGUCGGUGGAAUUCCCGGUGUAGUGGUGAAAUGCGUAGAGAUCGGGAGGAACACCUGUGGCGAAGGCGGCCGACUGGGCCGACCCUGACGCUGAGGCGCGAAGGCGUGGGGAGCGAACGGG